rnacentral:lncRNA from 10 species
UCAAAUGAUCGUCAAGGUUUGGGAGAAACAAUCUCUUCCUCUGCCCGGGUUGCGUGGAUCUCCAGUGGAAAGGAAGAACCGGAACUAUGGUUUGUGCCUGCCUUAUUGCCUCCAAAAUAUUUUUAACUGCAGAGGCUUUAUCUACCAAGAAAUGAAUUGGAUAAUCCACAUAAACAAAAAGCUUGGAAAAUUUAUCCACCAGAAUUUGCCGUGGAGAUACUUUUUGGAACCUGGCUUACCAGUAUAUCACCCCAGCGUUGACACACUGGGAACGGGUCACGCAUGUGGAUGAUCAAAGGUCAGCUCCUGGUCAAUAUGAGAAGACUGGUUUCAGAAAAGUUGAGUGCUGAAGACUACAAAGCUGUUUGUAAGUUAUCAAGCUAGGAUUUGAUCCCAGGUCUGCCUGAUAAAUCCUGGACUCUUAACCAUGACAUAGGAGUGCCCUCUUGACUCCUAUGAUGGCAUAAAGAAUUGUAUCAGAACGGGUAAUCUGGCAUUAAAACCCCUGUGCCAC